rnacentral:rRNA from 1 species
GACGAACGCUGGCGGCGUGCUUAACACAUGCAAGUCGAACGGUAAGGCCCCUUCGGGGGUACACGAGUGGCGAACGGGUGAGUAACACGUGGGUAAUCUGCCCUGCACUUCGGGAUAAGCCUGGGAAACUGGGUCUAAUACCGGAUAUGAACUCCUGCCGCAUGGUGGGGGUUGGAAAGUUUUUCGGUGCAGGAUGAGCCCGCGGCCUAUCAGCUUGUUGGUGGGGUAAUGGCCUACCAAGGCGACGACGGGUAGCCGGCCUGAGAGGGUGAUCGGCCACACUGGGACUGAGACACGGCCCAGACUCCUACGGGAGGCAGCAGUGGGGAAUAUUGCACAAUGGGCGAAAGCCUGAUGCAGCGACGCCGCGUGGGGGAUGACGGUCUUCGGAUUGUAAACCCCUUUCAGUAGGGACGAAGCGCAAGUGACGUACCUG